rnacentral:lncRNA from 1 species
CCUAAGCUGGUCUUGUCUGCCUCUUAAAUGCAGCGCAUGAUUUUAUCAUUUCCCAGUUUGCUGCUUAGCCAACCUCUAGGGGAAGGAAUAGAAUGAGAAAGAUUCCUGAAGAAGUAUACGAGAAGUUUUCAUCAGGGUAGUGAAUCAGAACCUCCAUGUUCAGCAACAGUGCACCUCUGGAUACUAGUUGCUGGGGAGACACAGUGAGGGAAGGUCAUGGCCUUCAUCCUCUGCUUGCCCAUUUCUUGGCAUUGUAGAGCUGGCCAAGAUGGACUAGAUGGAUGUUCACUCUGGUCCAACAGAAGAUGGGAGUGAGGGGUAUCCUGUAUCCUUUCUUCAUGUGUAUUCAUUGCUCCCUUCCUCUUCUUCUUUCAGAGUUUUGGGUUCUGCAAAGCAACUAUUUACCAGAAAGGAAAAGGUUCUGCCCCUUUAGACGAGAAUGACAUGGUGCAGUGUGACAUCUUUGAACAUGAGGAUACAGCUUUCCAGGCCCAUCAACAGGAUCAUCACUUAAAGGAAAACAUGCCUUCUCCUGGCAUUGGCCGCACUGUUCUUGAUCUCGCACAUUCCCACAAUGACACAUGGGCCUCGCACGAGUCCCAUUCUGCUGAAAUCUUACCAGCUGCCCCAGUGGUCAAAAGAGCAGUCCAGGCAGAAGUGCAAGGGAAGAUUAAACUCCAGGUGUGUCCUGGAAGGUUGAGGCAUUUCCAUGUGUAGGACAGUCCAGGGCUAAGAGCAAAUGAAGCCAUGGAACCACGCAAUUCAUAAAAUCCGUUUUAUAUUUUCCAAAGCCUGAACUCAAACUCUUGAAUCCAAGAAAAGAUUGCCCUGAUAAGUUCCAGAAAAUAGCAAUAGCCUGCAAAAUUUGCUUUCUGUGAUAAGACAGGCUGUGUAUAUUUGUUCCUUUGCUCUGUGUGAGUGCAGAAGCUGGUGCUUGCCACAGAUUUAGAAUCUACCAGCUCCUCUGUCAUCUUAAGUUCCUGAAGAUGCAAGUUUCUUGCUCCUGUGAUUGGAGACAACCAAGAGAAAGGCAGAGAGACAGUAUCUGGAGACAUCACUAGAGUAAGACAAGAGUAGACCAGGGAGACCCUGUCCUAUGUAUUGGUUGUUUUCCCACUCCUUGGGUAGCAAAAUCAGAAUGAAUUGCACAAAUUAUAUCCUAAUUCACACAGCAUGCCAUUUGGGUAACAAACACAUAACAGCUUGAUGAAGAGUCUGGUGGGGAAAAUGUGGUAAGGGAGAAAUAUACACAACAUUGGAUGGAAUUGACCAGAAAGACUUAUCAGAUGUGUUCUCUAAGAUUGACCAAAAAAGUUCCAAAGUGCUAUGUCAAGUUACAGAGCAAUACAUUCUGACACUAGGGACAACCAAAAGAUGGUGCUUCAAAAAUAAAACAUUAAAUUGAAAUCCUUCUUGUGGUUUUUGUUUUUCCUCUGGUUAUGUAACAAGGUGUUAAAAAGGCUGAAGCAUCUCUUGGUGUGCUUGGGGUUUCAGGCGAUUCUUCUGACCCAAUGCCUUUGCCUGUAGAGAGGUUCAGUAUCCCUUCCAAUUCUCUGAGGCAUGGCUAUUAAAUGUUAGCACCCUUGCACACAAGGCAUUUAUUGUGCAUUUGUGGUCCUUCAUUUACAGUAGCUUGUGGAUGCUUCACAAAGCAUCAUCAUCUUUUCUCAUUCUUUGCAAGUGUGUGGAAGUUCAAAUGAAUCCUCAG